rnacentral:sRNA from 1 species
GUUUUUAAAUAUCUCUGUUUGAAAAAUGAGAACUUCCUUGUAGGUAGUAAAUUUACAGGAUGUUAAUUCAUUUCAUGCCCCAUGCGGUCUGUAAGAUAUACCAGUGUAGCUACAUUUACUAUAAUUUUGAUGUUUAAUGUACCUAGUACAUAUAUUAAACCAACAAACCUUUUUAAUUUUACAACAUAAAGGCAUUGUAGAAGAGUUGGUACAUUGUAGUAUCAAUUUUUACUUCACAAUCCAAUGUUUUUAUGAAUUCAGAUGUUUUAUAGUACACAAGUAAAAUUUUGAAUAGGAAAUUUCCUUCAUUGGCCAGUGUUUAGGUGAUAUUUUGAUCUAAAAGUUUUAUUUUAGCAUACUUUUUACAAUUCUGAUACAAAAUUUUCCAUUCAAUGGGUUCAUGUACCAGUACUUAACUGAUGUGUAAUAAAGGGUAUGCAUCAUUAUUUAACAGUAUAAAUACCUGCAAGGUGAUUAAGAAUUGUUAUGAUACUGUAGACAGGGAAACAUUUGCCCCUGUUUUAUCAUAGCCCUUUUUCACCCUCAUUGUCGGCAGGUGAAUUCUAAUGGCUCAAAUUAUCUUUCUUUAAACACAACUGUGUCUACUGAAUUCUAGACAGUGUGUAAAUCUAGACGGGUGAAAAUUACACAGGGCAAAAAUAACCUUCUAUAAUACAUACAGUGCUACAUGUAUCAUUGAUAUUGAGUGUUAAGAUAACUAUAAUUAAAGCGACCAAAACUGAUAAUGAGCAAAGAAAGCAUCUCAAUUGAUAUUCUAAACUUGGUAUUCAAUAUACUAAAAGUGCAUUAAUGGAACAAAAAUCAUCAUGUUUGCUCAAUUUCUUCAUGUAAAAAAUGCUGCUCAAAGAAAAGCUUGCUGGAAAGUACCUGUAAAAUCAUGUCCCUGUCCUACUCAAUGUAUGUAUUUAUGCCACUUCUAUAAAUGAUAAAAGAGAGUUGUGAAUAUUCUUAUUUUAUCCCAUAUCAUAUUGCAUGGGUUUUUAUGUUAAAUCCAAAGGGAACAUUUUAAUAAAAAAAAUAAUUGUAUCCCUGUAAUUCCAGAAGGAACAAUCCUUUAUUAGACAUGUUCCAUCCUUGUUAUGUAGAAAUUGGUGUUAUUUGUUCUUUAAUAUUUAUGUUAUAUUUUACGUAAAUGUUAGCUCUCUCCACUUGUUAAUCAGGUCAUUCCUAUACAUAUUGGCCGAUUAGGUUCUUUGGCCAAUUACAUAGUAAUCAAGUACAAUAUAUGUAUUUGUUAAGCAAUGAACCCGUGUUCUGUUCUUGCCGGAACUGAAGAAUUUUUUAUACACAUUGAAAUAAAAUAUCAUUAAACAGAUA